CGUGUAGGCGGUUGGUCAAGUCGGGUGUGAAAGCCUGGGGCUCAGCCCCAGAAGUGCAUCCGAAACUAGCCAGCUAGAGCGCGAUAGAGGAGGGUGGAAUUCCUGGUGUAGCGGUGAAAUGCGUAGAUAUCAGGAGGAACACCGGCGGCGAAGGCGGCCCUCUGGAUCGCUGCUGACGCUGAGACGCGAAAGCGUGGGGAGCAAACAGGAUUAGAUACCCUGGUAGUCCACGCCUUAAACGAUGGGUACUAGGUGUUCGGGGUGUUGACCCCCUGAGUGCCGCAGUUAACGCACUAAGUACCCCGCCUGGGGACUACGGCCGCAAGGUUAAA
rnacentral:rRNA from 1 species